rnacentral:rRNA from 1 species
AACGAACGCUGGCGGCAUGCCUAACACAUGCAAGUCGAACGAGAUCUUCGGGUCUAGUGGCGCACGGGUGCGUAACGCGUGGGAAUCUGCCCUUAGGUUCGGAAUAACAGUUGGAAACGACUGCUAAUACCGGAUGAUGACGAAAGUCCAAAGAUUUAUCGCCAGAGGAUGAGCCCGCGUAGGAUUAGCUAGUUGGUGCGGUAAAGGCGCACCAAGGCGACGACCCUUAGCUGGUCUGGGAGGAUGAUCAGCCACACUGGGACUGAGACACGGCCCAGACUCCUACGGGAGGCAGCAGUGGGGGAUAUUGGACAAUGGGCGAAAGCCUGAUCCAGCAAUGCCGCGUGAGUGAUGAAGGCCUUAGGGUUGUAAAGCUCUUUUACCCGGGAUGAUAAUGACAGUACCGGGAGAAUAAGCUCCGGCUAACUCCGUGCCAGCCGCCGCGGUAA